UACAUAGGGUGCGAGCGUUGUCCGGAAUUAUUGGGCGUAAAGGGCUCGUAGGCGGUUUGUCGCGUCGGGAGUGAAAACACCGGGCUUAACUCGGUGCUGGCUUUCGAUACGGGCAGACUAGAGGUAUGCAGGGGAGAACGGAAUUCCUGGUGUAGCGGUGAAAUGCGCAGAUAUCAGGAGGAACACCGGUGGCGAAGGCGGUUCUCUGGGCAUUACCUGACGCUGAGGAGCGAAAGUGUGGGGAGCGAACAGG
rnacentral:rRNA from 1 species